CCCUUAGAUGUUCUGGGCCGCACGCGCGCUACACUGAUGCAUUCAACGAGCCUAUCCUUGACCGACAGGUCCGGGUAAUCUUUGAAUCUGCAUCGUGACGGGGAUAGAUUAUUGCAAUUAUUAAUCUUCAACGAGGAAUGCCUAGUAGGCGCAAGUCAUCAGCUUGCGUCGAUUACGUCCCUGCCCUUUGUACACACCGCCCGUCGCUCCUACCGAUUGAAUGGUCCGGUGAAAUCUUCGGAUUGCUGACCAAGAUCCAGCAAUGGAGCUUGGUUGCGAGAAGUUGAUUAAACCUUAUUAUUUAGAGGAAGGAGAAGUCGUAACA
rnacentral:rRNA from 1 species